UGCGAGAACCACCCUUAUUGCGAGAACCGCGAGAACCAAUGUGAACAGGGGGCAAUUUUGUAAAUACAUAAAACUUGUAAAUUAGUCGCUCCUCCUCUCCCUGCAUCUGUACUACUGGACUUCAAACAAAAACUAAAUCACAAUCUAUCAAGAAAUCACGUCCGACAAUCCCACAAGCAUCAUCAAUCUGCGAUUCAUCACAGCGAUUUACAAAAAAAAUCAAGUUCGACGCUCCACAAUAUCAGUAGUUCAUCAUCAAACUUCAUCGUAUGUUCGAUAUUAGUGCAAAAAGAACAUAAUCAUCGAUUUCACAUUCCUCUUCGAUUCGAAAUUAGGGCAAAACGACCAUAAUCAUCAAGAUUUGUUGUACAGAUAGGGAUAAUUUGAAGAACAUAUGUCGUUUAAUGGAAUCGCGUCUAACGGAAUCACGUCUAACGGAAUCACGAUUCGUUGUUGCACCGUUCUGUGAAUUUGGGCGAAUGUUGUGA
rnacentral:lncRNA from 1 species